ACUACGGGGGGCUGCAGUGAGGAAUAUUGGUCAAUGGACGCAAGUCUGAACCAGCCAUGCCGCGUGCAGGAAGACGGCGCUAUGAGUUGUAAACUGCUUUUGUACGAGGGUAAACGCAGAUACGUGUAGCUGUCUGAAAGUAUCGUACGAAUAAGGAUCGGCUAACUCCGUGCCAGCAGCCGCGGUAAUACGGAGGAUUCAAGCGUUAUCCGGAUUUAUUGGGGUUAAAGGGUGCGUAGGCGGUCGGAUAAGUUAGAGGUGAAAUCCCGUGGCUCAACUUCGGAAUUGCCUCUGAUACUGUUCGGCUAGAGCGUAGUUGCGGUAGGCGGAUUGUCUGGUGUAGCGGUGACAUGCUU
rnacentral:rRNA from 1 species